rnacentral:pre_miRNA from 1 species
UCCCCAUGACAUUUAGUGAUGACGUGUCUGUUUUUUAUCAAUUAACGUGUGCCACGUGUGUAAUUCCAUUUUUUUAAAAAUAAAAAAAAUGGUAUUUUUCAGAUUUUCAGCACUAAAUUCUAUUGUUGGUCACGUGCCUCCUUCUCUCAAAAUCUGAAAAAUACCAUUUUUUUUAUUUUAAAAGAAAAUGAAAUUACACACAUGGCACACAUUAAUUGAUAAAAAACAGACAUAUCAGCACUAAAUGUCAUGGGGA